AUUGAACGCUGGCGGCAGGCCUAACACAUGCAAGUCGAACGAGUGGCGGACGGGUGAGUAAUGUCUGGGAAACUGCCCGAUGGAGGGGGAUAACUACUGGAAACGGUAGCUAAUACCGCAUACAAUGGUAGUUGCCCAGUUGGGAUUAGCUAGUGGGUGGGGUAACGGCUAACCAAGGCGACGAUCCCUAGCUGGUCUGAGAGGAUGACCAGCCACACUGGAACGGAGACACGGUCCAGACUCCUACGGGAGGCAGCAGUGGGGAAUAUUGCACAAUGGGCGCAAGCCUGAUGCAGCCAUGCCGCGGGUAUGAAGAAGGCCUUCGGGUUGUAAAGUACUUUCAGCGGGGAGGCGUUACCCGCAGAAGAAGCACCGGCUAACUCCGUGCCAGCAGCCGCGGUAAUAC
rnacentral:rRNA from 1 species